CCAAAGAUGCUUGUCAACUGAAGAGUGUUCAGUUCAGGACAAAUGCAUCAAGGGGUGGAAUAUUAAUCGAAGCUAUUUCAAGUUUUAAGAAUGAAGAGGUUCUGGCUUUGUGCAGUGGCCAUACUUACUUUGUGCAAUUUGUCGUAUUCUGACGUUUGCAGGAGUUUGUGUUCCUGUAAUAGUUAUAAUUUUGGCCUCUACGUUGAUUGCGGAGGGAGAGGUGUUAAUUCAACUUUACUAUUGAACAUCAGCUUUCCGACGAACACAGCAGAUCUGUAAGUUCAUUACUGGUGCCCAAUUGAAGGCUUUUAAAGUGUUUUUGGCUAAACUACAAAAUACAAGGUCACUCAUUUCUAAAUUAU